rnacentral:lncRNA from 1 species
CCCUGUAGUACUCUUUUCUUUUCUCUUUUCCUUUUUUGCCUUCUUCCUUCCACUCCCUUUCCCUUCUGUUCUUUUUCUUUUUCUUUUUUAAUUAAACCUAGGGCUUUACACAUGCUAGGGGUGUACUGUACCACUGUGCCACGCUUCAGCCCGGCCUAUUAGCAUUUUGCUUUUUACAGAGCUCCACAGACAAGAAAGGCCGCCGGCCUGGGAGUGAAGAUUCCAGCACAACCACACUGGAUGGGCAUACAUUUAAGCCAGGAUAGACUGAGCCAAAGGAAAAAAAGAAGCAGAUCGCAGACCAUGCAAUGGCCACAUCCUGUCUGUCCCAUCCUACAUCCCAAGCAAGAUACCAGGACAGUACCAUUCCUGAGUUCCAGUCAGAAGAAGAGCAAUGACUUGGACCACUGUUGGGGAGACCCAGAAGACAUCCCAGGAUUGGACCACAGACCA